rnacentral:rRNA from 1 species
UACGGGGGGGGCAAGCGUUGUUCGGAAUUACUGGGCGUAAAGGGCGCGUAGGCGGUUCGCUAAGUUGGAUGUGAAAACUCUGGGCUCAACCCAGAGCCUGCAUCCAAAACUGUCAAGCUAGAGUCUGGAAGAGGAGAGCGGAAUUCCCGGUGUAGUGGUGGAAUGCGUAGAGAUCGGGAGGAACACCAGUGGCGAAAGCGGCUCUCUGGUCCAAAACUGACGCUGAGGGGCGAAAGCGUGGGGAGCAAACAGG